rnacentral:tRNA from 1 species
GGAGAGAUGGCUCAGUGGUGAAGAGCACUGACUGCUCUUCCAGAGGUCCUGAGUUCAAUUCCCAGCAACCACA